UGGCUCUUCGAGGUUCCGCACCGCCCCCUCGGGGAAGCAGCCCUGUAGCAGGCUUCCGACUUGGAGUGGCACCUCGCAGUCUGCCUGGUCCACGUAGGAGACUUCCGGGACUGUUUCUCUCAAGAUUUCAGGGGUUUGGGCACAGCUCGCGUCCUUUUUCUCUGUCCUUGCUCUCCUUCCUUUCCUGCUGGCAGCACGCGUCCCCGAGACCGCCUUCGCAAGCGCUGCCCGGGGCGGACUGGAACCCAUCCGGCCCCUGGAACUGCACAGUUCGGAUUGGAGGUCCCGGGAGUCGGGCCGGCUGCGUUCUGCACGAGACCGAGCACCCAGGAUGCUGGAGGAUAGGAUUCGAGAUGGUCUUACGUACCAAACAGGCCUGCGCGCUCCUAGUGCUGGACAGUGCAGAUACAUGGAUUUUCAGGAAGCUACUACGGAACCCAGGUGUCACGGCCACAGUAGGUGGGUGACCCUCAUCGUUUCAAGGGUACUCGGCUGUGACAGAGCGCGAUGCACGUCUGCAGCCAGCAGGACGUCUCCGAUAGGUCAGAGCACUCCGUCUACUGAGGAUACAGCAGGCUCGGGUUAUCUACUGUCGCCUUGGUUUUGACUUGGACGUUUCCCAAACCUCUACUGUGGGGUGGCCCCUUCUCCCUUUAGAUUUGGUUCUUAUUUCCUUCACUUCUAAUCUCGGAGGAGCAGGCUGACUUUUUACAGCCUCAGGGCGACAUUCUUACCCGUCUCAUCCCUUUAGGUUGUGUAAGGGCCAACUUUGAUUGGGAUUUUCCGUAACCAGAAUCUGACUCCUACUGGCCCAGUUGGACCCUCGGCCCGCCAUUCCCUCGGCAGCUCCUGAACGCGUUCCACCUUCUCACUAUUCUGCCUAUUGCAGUUUUCCCCCCUCCUCUUCUCGGGAUGACGGAAUGGGAGUGAAGUUUGAAUCUGGAAAUCGGGGUGAGAAUUGAAGACAGGGCUUCCAGACCCACCUCUGCCUCCUUUGGCUUGCCUCUUUCCACUUACUGCGCCUUCCUUGGAAAUACUGCGUUUUGCAUCUUGCCCUUUUCACGCUAAAGGAGCAUAUCUUUGCCUUUAAGAACAUCUUCAUGCAGAAAUCCUAUGUGCCUUUUUAAGUAUGUCUUUGAGAUACACUGCGCAGUCGUAUUGCUGGAUCGAAGACAAUCUAAGGUUCGAACAAUGCUGGAUCGAACAUUUCUAAGGUUCUUAACACUUGCUGCUAAGUCAUGUUUUUCCUCAAUAACUCCGAUCCUGGAUAUCAUGAUGAAAAACCUCCACCAGUCCGGUGGACAGAAGUGUCAUGUCAUUGUCACAUUAACAAUUCUUUUCUUCCUCACCUGGCCACUGGGACAGUUAAGUAGUAGGUCUUAGAGAGUUCAGAAAUCGACUGGAAUGAAGGAAAACGAAAUUUGCAGAGUGAUUUUGUAUUAUAAAGUGUCUUAAAAAAUGUAA